AUUGAAUGCUGGCGGCAGGCCUAACACAUGCAAGUCGAGCGAGGGGCGGACGGGUGAGUAAUGCCUGGGAAUUGCCCAGUCGAGGGGGAGAACAGGUGGAAACGACUGCUAAUACCGCAUAGGAUUGGAUUGGCCAGGUGGGAUUAGCGAGUUGGGGAGGUAAUGGCUCACCAAGGCGACGAUCCCUAGCUGGGCUGAGAGGAUGAUCAGUGACACUGGAACUGAGACACGGUCCAGACUCCUACGGGAGGCAGCAGUGGGGAAUAUUGCACAAUGGGCGAAACCCUGAUGCAGCCAUGCCGCGUGUGUGAAGAAGGCCUUCGGGUUUUAAAGCACUUUCAGCGAGGAGGCGUUACUCGCAGAAGAAGCACCGGCUAACUCCGUGCCAGCAGCCGCGGUAAUUC
rnacentral:rRNA from 1 species